rnacentral:pre_miRNA from 1 species
AGCCUUCUGUAUCCGUGCUGAGAUUUCGUCACAUACCAGACCACAAGGGCUGAUGAGACUUUGUACUAGAGAUU